UCUCUCCUGUUGAAUCCUUCUAGUGAAUUUCAGUUAUUGUACUUUUCAACUCCAGAAUUUUUGUGUGGUGCUUUUUUUUUUUUUUUUAAGACGGAGUCUCGCUCUGUCGCCAGACUGGAGUGCAGUGGUGUGAUCUCGGCCCACCGUGACCUCUGCCUCCCAGGUGCGUCUGCCGAUGGCCCCCUGAAGUUGCUGCCCGAGAGCCACUUCGACGUGGUGGUCAUUGAUGAGUGUGCCCAGGCCCUCGAGGCGAGCUGCUGGAUCCCCCUGCUGAAGGCCAGAAAGUGCAUCCUGGCGGGCGAUCACAAGCAGCUGCCCCCCACCACAGUCUCUCACAAAAGCUGUGAACUCGGAACUUUCGUUGUUUUCCGAGGACCGGAAGAAGAUGUGCAAGAAAUCCUGUCGAGUAGAAUCUCAUCACAGGGGCAUGGGCAGCCCAGGAGUUGGGGGGGCUGCGCUGGCAGGGCUGUCGCUCAGCCUGAUGGAACGCCUGGCUGAGGAGUACGGCGCGAGGGUGGUGCGGACACUGACGG
rnacentral:sRNA from 1 species